GGGUUGUGAGGUUAAGCGACCAAGCGUACACGGUGGAUGCCCUGGCAGUCAGAGGCGAUGAAGGACGUGCUAAUCUGCGAAAAGCGCCGGUAAGGUGAUAUGAACCGUUAUAACCGGCGAUGUCCGAAUGGGGAAACCCAGUGUGACUCGUCACACUAUCAUUAACUGAAUCCAUAGGUUAAUGAGGCGAACCGGGGGAACUGAAACAUCUAAGUACCCCGAGGAAAAGAAAUCAACCGAGAUUCCCCCAGUAGCGGCGAGCGAACGGGGAGGAGCCCAGAGCCUGAAUCAGCAUGUGUGUUAGUGGAAGCGUCUGGAAAGGCGCGCGAUACAGGGUGAC
rnacentral:rRNA from 1 species